GAUGAACGCUAGCGGGAGGCCUAACACAUGCAAGCCGAGCGGUAGAGUUUCUUCGGAAACUUGAGAGCGGCGCACGGGUGCGUAACACGUGUGCAACCUACCUUUAUCUGGGGGAUAGCCUUUCGAAAGGAAGAUUAAUACCCCAUAAUAUAAUGAUUGGCAUCAAUUAUUAUUGAAAACUCCGGUGGAUAGAGAUGGGCACGCGCAAGAUUAGAUAGUUGGUGAGGUAACGGCUCACCAAGUCAAUGAUCUUUAGGGGUCCUGAGAGGGAGAUCCUCCACACUGGUACUGAGACACGGACCAGACUCCUACGGGAGGCAGCAGUGAGGAAUAUUGGACAAUGGGUGAGAGCCUGAUCCAGCCAUCCCGCGUGAAGGAUGACGGUCCUAUGGAUUGUAAACUUCUUUUGUACAGGGAUAAACCUACCCUCGUGAGGGUAGCUGAAGGUACUGUACGAAUAAGCACCGGCUAACUCCGUG
rnacentral:rRNA from 1 species